rfam:Camelus ferus unplaced genomic scaffold scaffold773, whole genome shotgun sequence.
GAGGGCAUAGCUCGGUGGUAGAGCGCGUGCUUAGCAUUCACAGGGUCCUGGGUUCAAUCCCCUGUACUUCCA